AUCGCUUCUCGGCCUUUUGGCUAAGAUCAAGAGUAGUAUCUGUUCUUAUCAGUUUAUUAUCUGAUACGCCCCCUAUCUGGGGGCCAUAUAUUAAAUGGAUUUUUAGAACAGGGAGAUGGAAGAAGAGCUUGCUCUGUCCACUCCACGCAUUGACCUGGUAUUGCAAUACCUCCAGGACCGGUGCACUUCCU
ensembl:snRNA U2 U2 spliceosomal RNA